GAACCAGGAUUUGCUUGGAAAUCUUCAACAAUUUCGUGUGUGCCCUGUCCACCGGGAACAUAUCUUGAUUAUACUGUAAGCAGAUGUCUUGACUGUCCUAUUGGAACCUACAAAGAAACAGAAGAAGGUGCAACAUGUACAAAGUGCCCAGUGGGAAAGUCAACAGAAUCAGAGGGCAGUUUGUCAAAAGCUGAUUGUAUAGAUACCUGUAGACCUGGUACAUUUUCUAAAACGGGCCUCAAACCAUGUCUCAGAUGCCCGUAUAACCACUACCAAGAUCAAGAAGGAGCAACAUUCUGUAAUCGAUGCCCGGAAGGCAAAGUAACA